UGCGUUGUAACCCCCGCCGGGGAUACGUUAUCAAUGAAUGAAAUCUGCGUUGUAACCCCCGCUGGGGAAAGGCUUUUAAGGUUACGACCCUAUAUUUUACGGCAUCGGACCUGUGUGAGGCAUUGCCGAGUAUAAUUUGCAAACGCUGAGCUUAUCAGUAUAGUGUACCUUGUAUUUAGGCGAAUACCAAUGAGUGACAUGUAAAGCUAUAAUUUGACUUGUGAC
rnacentral:lncRNA from 1 species